rnacentral:tRNA from 1 species
GGAUUUAGCUCAGUGGUAGAGCGCUUGCCUAACAAGCACAGGCCCUGGGUUCGGUCCCCAGCUCUGCGGUCC